GAUGAACGCUGGCGGCGUGCCUAAUACAUGCAAGUCGAGCGAACAGAUGAGGAGCUUGCUCCUCUGACGUUAGCGGCGGACGGGUGAGUAACACGUGGAUAACCUACCUAUAAGACUGGGAUAACUUCGGGAAACCGGAGCUAAUACCGGAUAAUAUAUUGAACCGCAUGGUUCAAUAGUGAAAGACGGUUUUGCUGUCACUUAUAGAUGGAUCCGCGCUGCAUUAGCUAGUUGGUAAGGUAACGGCUUACCAAGGCAACGAUGCGUAGCCGACCUGAGAGGGUGAUCGGCCACACGGGAACUGAGACACGGUCCAGACUCCUACGGGAGGCAGCAGUAGGGAAUCUUCCGCAAUGGGCGAAAGCCUGACGGAGCAACGCCGCGUGAGUGAUGAAGGUCUUCGGAUCGUAAAACUCUGUUAUUAGGGAAGAACAAAUGUGUAAGUAACUAUGCACGUCUUGACGGUACCUAAUCAGAAAGCCACGGCUAACUACGUG
rnacentral:rRNA from 1 species